AGUCUUAUAGUUUAAUAAAACAUUAAAUUGCAAAUUUAAUAUUGAUAAGUCUAUCUAAGACUU
rnacentral:tRNA from 1 species